rnacentral:lncRNA from 1 species
CAUACAUCCAUUCAUUUCCAUCUCCAGAUUUACCCAAAAUUAUUCUACUCCUAUCCAGGAGAGAAUAGCCAAAAACAUUAUCCUAUCCCUGUUAUUCCCCGUGAAAUAAAUGCUCGAGAUAUUUUGGUUACUACCACUUGCUACAUUAUUCCAGGAGGGUGAGUGCUCUGAAAAAAGUGAAUACGAGGAAAGAAAAAGGGGCAAGUGCCCGGAACCUCAAAGAAAAGAAAAAGUGAGACGAGAGGUAAAAAUGGACAAGUGUCCGACAGUAGAAUUAGGGUUACAAGAUACCCACCUGAGAGAAAAGAAAAAGAAAAUAUAGAGCAUCUCAUUCCUCUCAAAAACCUUCAAAGUGCAAGAAAGGUAUGUAUCCCUUCAAAAGAGCAAAAGUAGAAUUAGACUUUCACCAUUAUUUUCACCAUUAUCACCAUCAUCACCAUACACCAUUCAUCCGCCACACAUGCACAUCUUGAUUUGACUUAUUGACUUGUUUCUCUGGAUCCAUGGUUUGACUAUGCAAUAAAUGUCUUGUAAGUAUGUAUUAGCUGUCUCCCACCUAUGAGCUCCAGAUAUCAAAACCUUGUUAGAGUAG